UGCAGCCCUAGUAGAGUGAGAGGUAAAUACAUUAAUAUCAAUUCCUGCCAAUUGCAAAGUGGUUCUCACCCAACGUGAAAUGGUCGAGGUGCAAACAGAUUGAUGAGGAGAUUUAUAACUCACAAACAAUUUCACUCUCGGACCACGUAGAGAGAAUGAUCUAAACAAGUACUGCUGUGUGUUAAAUACAGGACAAAUAGCCUUGCUAUCAGGGAAUGCACGGAAAUCAAGAGGUGACUGAUGAAAACCAGGUCUAGUUGUUUUGAGAACUUGAUCAAUAUAACAAACAACUCUGUCAUCAGAAACAUCCAUAAGUCUGAUGUCAAUAGCAGCAAAUGUUUGGUCUCUCUGUCCUGAUAGAAGACAAAACAAUGUUACAAGACGAAAGAUAUCAUGCCAGCUAGCAGUUGCAGAGACUUCUGUAGUGGGUGCACAGCUUGUGGACGGUUUGGCAGUAACAUUAGAUGCUUGCUGGAAGGAAUAACAAUUCGUUCAGAAAUCAACAUUCUAUUGUACAGAGAAUACCAGGGACUAUAUGGCCAAUUAGGAACAAUUAGAAGACCAGUUGCAUUGUCAGAACAAAUCUUUUGUAAAACAUUAGGAAUAAUUGCAAAUGGUGGAAAGGCAUAAAAUUUAAUGGUUGACCAGCUAAAUGUAAACGAAUCAAUUGCUGAAGCCUCUGGAUCUGGCCAAAACGAUGCAAAAGGCUUAAAUUGGCAAUUGAUUCUAGAGGCAAAUAAAUCAAUGUCUAAGGUAACAUUUAAUUUUUUGAUUACAAAUUUAAACACAGAUGGAUUUAACUGCCAUUCUGUUCGAAG